rnacentral:snRNA from 10 species
GGAAACAUGAGGAUGAUCUGGCUGCAACAUGUCAACCCAUUGAUCACCAGAGUUGAUUCAGCUGAUCUGGCUGACAAGGUGGGUGUCCCCUUCCUCCCUCACUGCUCCAUGUGUGUCCCACCUAGAUCUGUAUACUUAGUCAAAGACGACAAUUUUCCCUGAAAGAAGAGGACCAUUCUCCAGUCAAGGGUUUAUGAGUAGCUGUGCUUCCCCACUAAAAUCUCCAAAGAAGCUCUCAAAGUAGGUAGCUUCUAAUGUAAUUGUGUUUUGUUUUGGUUGGUGUUUUUCUUUAUUUCUUUGAGCCAGAGAAAACACAGGUCUUGGUU